rnacentral:rRNA from 1 species
UACGUAGGGGGCAAGCGUUGUCCGGAAUCAUUGGGCGUAAAGCGCGUGUAGGCGGCCAGAAAAGUCCGCUGUGAAAACUCGAGGCUCAACUUCGAGCUGUCGGUGGAAACUUUCUGGCUAGAGUCCGGAAGAGGAGAAUGGAAUUCCUGGUGUAGCGGUGAAAUGCGCAGAUAUCAGGAGGAACACCGGUGGCGAAGGCGGGUCUCUGGUACGUGACUGACGCUGAGGAGCGAAAGUGUGGGGAGCGAACAGG